CCUACGGGAGGCAGCAGUAGGGAAUCUUUCACAAUGGGCGAAAGCCUGAUGGAGCAACGCCGCGUGCAGGAUGAAGGCCUUCGGGUUGUAAACUGCUUUUAUAAGCGAGAAAUAUGACGGUAACUUAUGAAUAAGCCUCGGCUAACUACGUGCCAGCAGCCGCGGUCAUACGUAGGAUCCGAGCAUUAUCCGGAGUGACUGGGUGUAAAGAGUUGCGUAGGUGGCAUAAGAAGUAGCUAAUGAAAUCUGGUGGCUCAAACAUUGAGACUAUUAGCGAAACUGUUAAGCUCGAGACCGUUAGAGGUAACUGGAAUUUCUAGUGUAGGGGUGAAAUCCGUAGAUAUUAGAAGGAACACCAGUAGCGUAGGCAGGUUGCUGGGACGGUUCUGACACUGAGGCACGAAAGCGUAGGGAGCAAACGGGAUUAGAUACCCGGGUAGUC
rnacentral:rRNA from 1 species